rnacentral:tRNA from 1 species
CAAAAUAGGACUUAGUAGUUAAGUAUUUCAUUUACAUUGAAGGUGGUUCUGUGCAAUUCAGGAUAUUUUGA